UGAUGGGGGAAAUAGAGCAUGCCCAGAACACAGGGAGAUGGAGUGGCCAGGAUGCAGGGUACAGGCACAAGAGCUGGGCAGGCACACAGGGAACACACCUGUGGGGGUGGAGAUGACUUGAGGGGCCUUCUCAGAUGGAUUUGGGGAAUGCUGGAUAUGUCAGUCUUCUCUGGCUCAGCUGGGGUUUGCUCAUUUAAGCUGACAGUGAGUUGGAUGUUGAGUGAUAUUGACACCCCACCCCCACCCCCAAUUCAGCACCUCCCUCCAGGAUCCCACAUUGCUGUCAGUUUCCAGGCCUUUAGUAAAAUGAUGGUGGGCUCAUCAUUCAGCCCCUUCAUUACCCUUUCCUCCUCUCCCGCUCCAGUUUAUAACUCCACCCACUUUGGAAGAUCUGCAUGCUCUGCUCCCUGCUCCCACCUGCUCCUCCCUGGCCAAGGCCCAGAGUAGCCCCCAUAGUGAGCACCCACUUGGCUGGGAGCUCAGGAUCUACUGUGCCUCUGGUUCACAUGUUGGCAUUUGAAGAGGGCCUGAGUCAUCUUGGUCUUCCCUGAGCAUUGCUCUACCCCAAAAGAGGCCCCUGGCAGUAGGGGGACCAACCU
rnacentral:lncRNA from 1 species